rnacentral:rRNA from 1 species
CAGUAGCCGCGGGAACACGGAGGGUGCAAGCGUUAAUCGGAAUUACUGGGCGUAAAGCGCACGCAGGCGGUCUGACAAGUCAGAUGUGAAAUCCCCGGGCUUAACCUGGGAACUGCAUUUGAAACUGUCAGGCUGGAGUCUUGUAGAGGGGGGUGGAAUUCCAGGUGUAGCGGUGAAAUGCGUAGAUAUAGGAAGGAACACCAGUGGCGAAGGCGACCACCUGGACUGAUACUGACACUGAGGUGCGAAAGCGUGGGGAGCAAACAGGAUUAGAUACCCGGGUAGUCCCUGUCUCUUAUAC